rnacentral:lncRNA from 10 species
AGAAUGGUGCCAGAUAAGGCCAUGGAAUUUGGAAUUUGGUGGGAUCUAGAAUUUCCCUUAUGGGGAAGGCUGGUCCCAGCUGUCCACCCAUAUCUGGAGUCCAAAGGCUAGGGCUGAACCCAGAUGAGGCCCUGACACUAAAAGCUAGAUUAGGGUGGGUCACUUCACUUUCCUGAGCCCCAGUUUGCUCUUCUGCUAAGACCUUCCUCCCAGAGCCAUCGCAAGGACUGAGUGAGACAAUGCAUACACAAUGGCCAAGGGGCUCUGAUCACUGAAGAUUUGGCUCUGGCUUCCACCAUGUUGGGUACACGCAGCAGGUCCACGCACAGCUGGGACAAAAUCACAGC